GCAUAUCAAUAAGCGGAGGAAAAGAAACCAACAGGGAUUGCCCCAGUAACGGCGAGUGAAGCGGCAACAGCUCAAAUUUGAAAUCUGGUCCCCCCCGCGGGGGCCCGAGUUGUAAUUUGGAGAGGAUGCUUCUGGCGAGGCGCCGUCCGAGUUCCCUGGAACGGGACGCCGCAGAGGGUGAGAGCCCCGUACGGUCGGACGCCGAGCCUCUGUGAAGCUCCUUCGACGAGUCGAGUAGUUUGGGAAUGCUGCUCAAAAUGGGAGGUAAACCCCUUCUAAAGCUAAAUACUGGCCAGAGACCGAUAGCGCACAAGUAGAGUGAUCGAAAGAUGAAAAGCACUUUGAAAAGAGAGUUAAAAAGCACGUGAAAUUGUUGAAAGGGAAGCGCUUGCGACCAGACUCGUGCCCGUCGGAUCAGCCGUCGCUCGUCGGCGGCGCACUCCGUCGGGCCCGGGCCAGCAUCAGUUUUCCCGGGGGGAGAAAGGCGGCGGGAAUGUGGCUCCUCCGGGAGUGUUAUAGCCCGCCGCGCAAUACCCCCGGGGGGACUGAGGACCGCGCGUAAUGCAAGGAUGCUGGCGUAAUGGUCGUCAGCGACCCGUCUUGAAACACGGACCAAGGAGUCGUCCUAAUAUGCGAGUGUACGGGUGUCAAACCCCUGCGCGUAAUGAAAGUGAACGGAGGUGAGAGCUUCGGCGCAUCAUCGACCGAUCCUGAUGUUCUCGGAUGGAUUUGAGUAAGAGCAUAUUGGGCCGGACCCGAAAGAAGGUGAACUAUGCCUGUGUAGGGUAAAGCCAGAGGAAACUCUGGUGGAGGCUCGCAGCGGUUCUGACGUGCAAAUCGAUCGUCAAACAUGGGCAUGGGGGCGAAAGACUAAUCGAACCUUCUAGUAGCUGGUUUCCGCG
rnacentral:rRNA from 1 species